UGGCUCAGGAUGAACGCUGGCGGCGUGCCUAAUACAUGCAAGUCGAGCGAACGGACGAGAAGCUUGCUUCUCUGAUGUUAGCGGCGGACGGGUGAGUAACACGUGGAUAACCUACCUAUAAGACUGGGAUAACUUCGGGAAACCGGAGCUAAUACCGGAUAAUAUUUUGAACCGCAUGGUUCAAAAGUGAAAGACGGUCUUGCUGUCACUUAUAGAUGGAUCCGCGCUGCAUUAGCUAGUUGGUAAGGUAACGGCUUACCAAGGCAACGAUGCAUAGCCGACCUGAGAGGGUGAUCGGCCACACUGGAACUGAGACACGGUCCAGACUCCUACGGGAGGCAGCAGUAGGGAAUCUUCCGCAAUGGGCGAAAGCCUGACGGAGCAACGCCGCGUGAGUGAUGAAGGUCUUCGGAUCGUAAAACUCUGUUAUUAGGGAAGAACAUAUGUGUAAGUAACUGUGCACAUCUUGACGGUACCUAAUCAGAAAGCCACGGCUAACUACGUGCCAGCAGCCGCGGUAAUACGUAGGUGGCAAGCGUUAUCCGGAAUUAUUGGGCGUAAAGCGCGCGUAGGCGGUUUUUUAAGUCUGAUGUGAAAGCCCACGGCUCAACCGUGGAGGGUCAUUGGAAACUGG
rnacentral:rRNA from 1 species